CAAUAGCGUAUAUUAAAGUUGUUGCAGUUAAAAAGCUCGUAGUUGGAUUUCUGGUUGAAGCGACCGGUCGGGCGUUGAUUCGUCUGCACUGGAGUCGGUUUUGGCCAUCCUCUAGGAAAGUGCGUCUGGUAUUAAGUUAUCGGGCGUAUGAUCCUGGUCUUUUACUGUGAAAAAAUUAGAGUGUUUAAAGCAGGCCUUCGCCUUGAAUACAUUAGCAUGGAAUAAUAAGAUAGGACUUUGGUCUAUUUUGUUGGUUUGCAGACCGAAGUAAUGAUUAAUAGGGAUAGUUGGGGGUAUUUAUAUUCCGAUGUCAGAGGUGGAAUUCUUAGAUUUUCGGAAGAUAAACUUAUGCGAAAGCAUUUACCAAGGAUGUUUNCAUUAA
rnacentral:rRNA from 1 species